CCUUGGACUUGGUACCUGUCUAUGGACUUCCAGUGCCACCACUCCUCUGUUGGUCUAUUUUUACAGACAAAACAGAGGUGAGCUGAAACAGCUGUUUCUGGAGGCCUUCUGCUGAUGACCACCGUGACCAGUGCUAUUGUAGCUACACUUCUACAGCUGCCAGUCGUUCUGCCGUCUCAACUGUUUUAUCCAGACCCUCGUUCCAACAUUAGUUUUGCCUGCUAUCUGUCACAUCCUGUCUUCAUUAUCCUGUACACUGGCGUGCAACAGACCCCAACUCAGGCAUCAACUUCUUGACAGAGAGUUGAUAUGGAUUACAUCUUGCAGGUGACACAAAAAGUGUAAUUUCAAGUUGGAAAUUAUUAAAAGAGGACUAAUACAGCGAAAAGGACUGCCCUCUUGUGGAGGACAAGAUUAGUGUGAUAGGCUUCCUUGUGACCACAAAUAACAACAUAAAUAACUCUGGCCACCAUUUCACUGCACUUUCCAUGGCAGUGAGUCAGAAUUUACAAGUGACACCGACUUAGCUAAUGAGAUCAUAACAAAGGGUAUCUGUUUCUUAUGACGCAACGCCCAGACCUUUCCAUCUUAGCACUUGAGUUAUGCAGGGCAUGUGCUACGUUGUGUGUUGAAUUAUGUUGAGUAAUGCUUGCCAAACAACCUCAAAUAAAUACCUUGAUCCUUCUGCCACUGUUUUUGUUGAUGUGUUGAUUUUCACUGGAGUAUAGUUGUUAAGCUCAGUGUUGAUAACGUGUCUGUCUAAGUCGUUCAAAGUUUCUAUCAUGUUUGACACCAGGAUGGAGAUAAAUGAUAUCCUCCCAGAAAUUUUGGCCAUCAUUUCAAGUUUCAGCAUUCAAUCUGCUUACUUGAGUUAUGUUUUAUUUCAAAGUUUAGGCUAGACUAUUAAAUGUCUGGUGGUGUAAGCUAAAUGCAAAAUAUGGUUAUGUUGAAGAUAUUUUAUUUAGCAUUUAGCUGUUUGAAUAUUCCACAUGCCUGUCUUGAAUAACUUCUAAAUACUAGGAUAAUGUUUAAGAUGUUUAUUAAAAUGUUUAUUAUUACACUUUUUGUUAUUAUCAACUUGAUGUCUUAUUUCUGAUGUCCCAUUUCAGUCUUAUUUAGAAGUGUCUUGUUGUUUUGUCAUGUUUUAGGGUAGAAUACACUAUUGUUUUAAUAUUGAAUAUGUGUGGAUGGUGGAGGUGAA